CAGUCGCCGCGGGAAUACGGAGGGGGCUAGCGUUGUUCGGAAUUACUGGGCGUAAAGGGUGCGUAGGCGGUUCAGCAAGUCUCGUGUGAAAUCUUCGGGCUCAACCCGAAGUCUGCACGGGAAACUACUGGGCUUGAGUAAUGGAGAGGUGAGUGGAAUUUCCGGUGUAGCGGUGAGAUGCGUAGAUAUCGGAAGGAACACCUGUGGCGAAAGCGGCUCACUGGACAUUUACUGACGCUGAUGCACGAAAGCUAGGGGAGCAAACAGGAUUAGAUACCCGGGUAGUCCCUGUCUCUUAUAA
rnacentral:rRNA from 1 species